CUCUAAUAUUAGUAUAAACCAUGGCGCAACAUUCUCUAGAUAAUAUCAAUAAUCUUUUACCGUUUCAAAAUCUUAACGAUAACGAGUUUGAAACGUUGAAUGAUCCAACAAUAAGACAAUCGUAUCCCGAUAUGGAUAGACUAAGCCAAUUACGAUUUAUUCCUUUUGAAACAAAUCAAAACAUAGCGCUUUCCGGCAAUAAUGCGGACCUUGAUUCAUCCUUCAAUACAAACAAGAUUCAGUGUGAAUAUUACUUACCAGAGGAUUUCAAAAAACGAAUAGAAUGCGAAAAUAUACAAGCAAAAUUUUCAAUAAUGCAUUUAAACAUACGAAGUAUUUCGAACAAAUUUGACUCUUUAAAAAAUUUGAUUGAUACUUUGAAUAUACCUUUUCAGAUAAUUGGACUUACUGAGACAUGGCUAAAUGACAAUAUUGUGAACUGCUUUACUUUGAAUAAUUAUGAGUACUUUGGUUCUAAUAGGCCGGAAAAAAGAGGCGGAGGUGUAGGUCUUUAUGUGUCAAAACAAUUGGAGCAAAAAUCUCGGAACGACUUAACCAAAAAUGUUGAAGGUAUAAUUGAAACUAAAUUUAUUGAAAUUAUAAAUGAUAAUGGUAAAAAUCUUAUUGUUGGGGUUAUUUAUAGACCACCAAGCGGAGAUUUUCUUACGUUUAAAAAUACUAUGAACACAAUCUUAGAAAAGAUUGACAGAGAAAAUAAGAUCUGUUAUUUAAUGGGUGAUUUUAACAUUGAUCUUUUCAAAUCAGAGUCUUGUGAUUACGCUGGUCAAUUUGCCGAACAAUUAUUCACAUCGUCCUUUUUUCCAUUAAUCACUAAAGCAACACGAAUAACUGAUGACACUGCAACGCUAAUUGAUAAUAUUUUCACAAAUAAUUUAGAAAAACUUAAUGAUAGUGUAAAUGGUGUUGUUUUUAGCGAUAUUUCAGACCAUUUACCUAUUGUACAUAUUUUUAAUUCAAUUAUAUUGGAUAAAAACAGAAACACAAAUGAGACUACAGUAACCUAUCAAAGAGAAUAUAAUAAAGCUAACAUAGAGUCGUUCAAAGACGCAGUUAAAAAUAUUUCCUGGAAUGAAGUAUUAAACGAAUCUAAUGACCCUGAAAAGGCUUAUAAUGAGUUUUUGAAAUUAUUUAUGGGUGUAUAUGAGGCAAAUUUUCCACUUAAAAGAAAAGAAAACAAAACAAAAAUAAAUAAAAUAAAGAGUCCAUGGAUGACUAGAUGUAUAUUAAAGUCAGUUAAAAAUAAAAAUAAAUUAUACAAAACCCUUCUUAAAAAUCCAAAUAAUAAAAAUAGGCAAAAAUACACAAAAUAUAAAAAUAAACUAAACCAUAUCAUAAAAAUUGCAAAGAAAAUUUAUUAUGAAGAACAGUUAAUUAAAUACAAGAAAAAUUCAAAAAUGAUGUGGAAAACGCUAAAUGAACUACUAAAUAAACCAUCUAAAAAUAUAAAAGUAUCAAAAACGUUUGUAGAAAGUUGUUCAUCAAAUAUAAUUGAAGACCCGAAUGAAAUAGCUAGCAAAUUCAAUGACUACUUUAUUAACAUAGGUCCUACUCUAGCAAACAAAAUCAAACACAAUGAAAAUGAGAGUUUUGAAAAAUAUCUUUCUGGCAGUUAUCAGUCAAACUUUUUUCUAAAUGCGAUUACGGAAUAUGAACUUGAAUUAGAACUUGAAAAUAUGAAGUUGAACAAAAGUUCUGGAUAUGAUGGUAUUAAUGCUAACAUCACAAAAAUAACUGCUAAGGAAAUUUCUAAGCCAUUAACACAUAUUUUUAACUUAUCGUUUUCAUCAGGAAUUAUUCCAGAUAAUUUAAAAAUCGCAUUAGUUACGCCAAUUUUUAAAGGCAAUGAAGAAAAUAGAUUUGAAAAUUACCGACCUAUAUCAGUCCUUACUUGUUUUUCUAAACUACUGGAAAAGCUUAUGGUAAAGAGACUAAUAAAUUUUAUUGAUAAGAACAAGAUAUUAUCAAAACAUCAGUAUGGUUUCAGACGCAACAGGUCAACAGAACUUGCUGUACUUGAUUUUGUUGAUAAAAUAACUAAAGCAAUAGAAGAAGGGAAGUUCACUGUUGGUAUUUUCCUUGAUUUGUCAAAAGCGUUUGACACAAUUAAUCACAAGAUUCUGAUAAGAAAAUUGGAACAUUAUGGUAUACGAGGAACAGCAAAAAAAUGGUUUGAAAAUUAUCUAUAUAAUAGAAAGCAAUAUGUAAAAUAUAACGGAGUACAAUCUGAAGAAAUGACUAUCACAAGCGGUGUGCCACAAGGAUCAGUUUUAGGUCCUGUAUUAUUUCUCUUAUACAUAAAUGAUAUUCAAUAUUGCAGUAAAUUGGUUUCAAUUAUAUUAUUUGCCGAUGACACUAACAUACUGUAUAGCGAUGUUUGUCUCAAAACUUUAAACGAAACUAUUCAAGUUGAAAUGAACAAAAUUACAGAUUGGUUGAAUGUUAAUAAAUUAUCUAUAAACACUGCGAAAACCAAGCUGAUCCUUUUCAGAUCAAAAAAUAAGAAACCUAAAUGUGAUUUAAGAAUUUCUAUAAAUAGCGAAACUAUAAAACAAGUAAAAAAAACUACGUUUUUAGGGAUUGUUAUAGAUGAAUUUUUAUCAUGGUGCGAUCAUAUAGAUCUUAUUUCAAAAAAAAUUAUCAAAUGUACAGCUAUUAUAUCCAGAAUACGACAUUUUACAAACCUAAAUUCCUUAAAACUGAUCUAUUACGCAUUGGUCUAUCCAUAUCUUAUAUACUGUAAUUUAGUUUGGGGUAACGCUUACAAAUCCCACAUUCAAAAAUUAGUAAAUAUCCAGAAAAAGAUAGUAAGAUUAAUGACCUUCAAAUCCUAUUUUGACCAUACUGAACCAAUUUUUAAUGACCUUAAAAUACUAAACUUGUAUAAAUUGAAUGACUUCUUAACAAGUCUAUUUAUGUUCCGAUAUUUUCAUCUACAAAAUCUUCCAGAAAUUUUUGAUAAAUAUUUUUUAACUAACAAAGAAAUCCAUAAUUACAACACAAGAAACGCAUCAUUGCUCCACAAAAGUUGUACUAGAAC